AGCGAACGUUUGCGGCGGGCUUAACACAUGCAAGUCGAACGAGAAUCCCUUCGGGGAGGAAAGUGGCGCACGGGUGCGUAACACGUGGAUAACCAACCCAUUGGUUUGGGACAACACCGGGAAACUGGUGCUAAUACCAGAUGUGUCGCAGCUGUCUUCAGGCGGUUGCGAGAAAGGCCCGCAAGGGUCGCCAACGGACGGGUCCGCGUCCCAUCAGCUAGUUGGUGAGGUAAUGGCUCACCAAGGCAAAGACGGGUAGCUGGUCUGAGAGGAUGAUCAGCCACACUGGAACUGAGACACGGUCCAGACUCCUACGGGAGGCAGCAGUGGGGAAUAUUGCGCAAUGGGCGAAAGCCUGACCCAGCAACGCCGCGUGAAGGAUGAAUGUCGUAAGAUUGUAAACUUCUUUUUGAGGAGACGAAAAACGAGUUGGUAGCUCGAAUUGACUGUACCCUUAGAAUAAGCCCGGCUAACUACGUGCCAGCAGCCGCGGU
rnacentral:rRNA from 1 species